AUUGAACGCUGGCGGCAGGCCUAACACAUGCAAGUCGAACGAGUGGCGGACGGGUGAGUAAUGUCUGGGAAACUGCCUGAUGGAGGGGGAUAACUACUGGAAACGGUAGCUAAUAACGCAUACCAUCGGAUGAGCCCCGAUGGGAUUAGCUUGUAGUUAGGGUAACGGCUUACCUAGGAGACGAUCCCUAGCUGGUCUGAGAGGAUGAUCAGCCACACUGGGACUGAGACACGGCCCAGACUCCGACGGGAGGCAGCAGUGGGGAAUAUUGCACAAUGGGCGCAAGCCUGAUACAGCCAUGCCGCGUGUAUGAAGAAGGCCUUCGGGUUGUAAAGUACUUUCAGCCGGGAGGCGUUACCCACAGAAGAAGCACCGGCUAACUCCGUGCCAGCCGCCGCGGUAAUAC
rnacentral:rRNA from 1 species